rnacentral:rRNA from 1 species
UAGGGAAUCUUCGGCAAUGGGGGCAACCCUGACCGAGCAACGCCGCGUGAGUGAAGAGGGUUUUCGGAUCGUAAAGCUCUGUUGUAAGUCAAGAACGGUGUGAGAGUGGAAAGUUCACACUGUGACGGUAGCUUACCAGAAAGGGACGGCUAACUACGUGCCAGCAGCCGCGGUAAUACGUAGGUCCCGAGCGUUGUCCGGAUUAUUGGGCGUAAAGCGAGCGCAGGCGGUUUNAUAAGUCNGAAGUUAAAGGCUGUGGCUCAACCAUAGUUCGCUUUGGAAACUGUCAAACUUGAGUGCAG